rnacentral:lncRNA from 1 species
GGACUCUCAACAUAAGCAGACAGCUAAAAAUCCCCAAGAUCAUCAAUCAUCAGCAUGGCGCAGCGAGAAUUGAGUGAGCUGAAAUACUCAAUGAUGGUGUUUGGGGACCCCCUUAACUCUCACCAGACAUUUAUGGACCAACUCGGGCAACGUCUCAGUGUGGUUGAAGAGUCUUCAAUAGUUAGAAGUGACGUCAUCAUUGCUUUUGUUGCUGGAACAGAUAUUAAAGCUGCUCUUCAGGAAAUUCCACAAGAAGGGUCUAAGCCUAUUGUUCUGGUGGUGCUCCACCACACCACUGAGAAAGAUUCUAUGAAUCUGAACAGGCGGUCUGUUAACAGACAGCAAGUGUUUAUUGUGGACUGCCUGUUUUAUGGCGACCAAGGCUUCCUGACAUGUCAGAGCAACGACAAGGCUCUGAAAGCAGUAACUCUUCAUUUGGUCGCUUUAGGAGCUUCAGAAAGGUCAAUGCCUAAGGAUACUAUUGGCCUGUUCCAAAGUGUCCUUCACUUCUUCGUUAAAAUACUGGGUGGCUUUCUCGUUGCUGUGGGAUUUGAUUUUGUUAUUCAUUUGUUUAGAAGAAGACGUUAGAAGAAGAUGUUCUGACUGCAGCUCUGCAGUAACAUUUGUGAUAUCAAUCUGUACUCUGAUAUGUAAUUCAUUAAAUAUCUGUUUAAAAGCUGAAUGAAUGUGUUUGCCUCAUGCAUAUAAAGAGUUCUGACCCCAGAUUUGACCAGGAAAUCAUCUCUGUUGUCAGUGGAAUAUGUUUGCACUCUAACUGUGAAUAUUUAUACUGAAAACUGAAUCUCUUGGCAUCUUUAUACUGUUAAUCUGUAACCAAUGCUUUUCCUCAUGCAUGAAUCUGUAAUGUGUAAGUGUUUAAAAUAAUGUAAAACUAAUAAUAAUUGAUAAUGUGGAGUUUUUGUAAAAGCCUAAAUAAAUGAU